rnacentral:lncRNA from 1 species
UCUAGUUGGGUUAUAGAUUCUGGUUCUAGUGCUCAUCUAUGCACUACCAUGCAGGGUUUAAAGGAAAGUAGAAGGCUGACGGAAGGUGCGGUAAUCCUUCGGGUUGGCAACGGGGCAAAAGUUGCUGCUGUGGCUGUGGGCACCUACCAUCUGCGACUACCAUCUAGUUUUAGUUUAUUACUUAGAGACUGCUAUUAUGUACCUGCUGCUAGCAGAAAUUUGAUUUCUGUUUCAUGUC